rnacentral:rRNA from 1 species
UGUCAAGUCCUCAUGGCCCUUACGCCUAGGGCUACACACGUGCUACAAUGGCCGCUACAAAGGGUCGCAAUACCGCGAGGUGGAGCCAAUCCCAAAAAAGCGGUCUCAGUUCGGAUCGGAGUCUGCAACUCGACUCCGUGAAGCUGGAAUUGCUAGUAAUCGCGCAUCAGCACGGCGCGGUGAAUACGUUCCCGGGCCUU